GACGAACGCUGGCGGCGUGCCUAAUACAUGCAAGUAGAACGCUGAAGCUUGGUGCUUGCACCGAGCGGAUGAGUUGCGAACGGGUGAGUAACGCGUAGGUAACCUGCCUGGUAGCGGGGGAUAACUAUUGGAAACGAUAGCUAAUACCGCAUAACAGUAGAUAUCGCAUGAUAGCUACUUGAAAGGUGCAAAUGCACCACUACCAGAUGGACCUGCGUUGUAUUAGCUAGUUGGUGAGGUAACGGCUCACCAAGGCAACGAUACAUAGCCGACCUGAGAGGGUGAUCGGCCACACUGGGACUGAGACACGGCCCAGACUCCUACGGGAGGCAGCAGUAGGGAAUCUUCGGCAAUGGACGGAAGUCUGACCGAGCAACGCCGCGUGUGUGAAGAAGGUUUUCGGAUCGUAAAGCUCUGUUGUAAGAGAAGAACGAGUGUGAGAGUGGAAAGUUCACACUGUGACGGUAUCUUACCAGAAAGAGACGGCUAACUACGUG
rnacentral:rRNA from 1 species